rnacentral:tRNA from 1 species
GCGGGGGUGGCUAAGUUUGGCCAAAAGCGGGGGACUUAAGAUCCCCUCCCUUAGGGGUUCGGGAGUUCAAAUCUCUCCCCCCGCA